rnacentral:rRNA from 1 species
GAUGAACGCUGGCGGCGUGCCUAAUACAUGCAAGUCGAGCGAACAGACGAGGAGCUUGCUCCUCUGACGUUAGCGGCGGACGGGUGAGUAACACGUGGAUAACCUACCUAUAAGACUGGGAUAACUUCGGGAAACCGGAGCUAAUACCGGAUAAUAUAUUGAACCGCAUGGUUCAAUAGUGAAAGACGGUUUUGCUGUCACUUAUAGAUGGAUCCGCGCCGCAUUAGCUAGUUGGUAAGGUAACGGCUUACAAAGGCAACGAUGCGUAGCCGACCUGAGAGGGUGCUCGGCCACACUAGAACUGAGACACGGUCCAGACUCCUACGGGAGGCAGCAGUAGGGAAUCUUCCGCAAUGGGCGAAAGCCUGACGGAGCAACGCCGCGUGAGUGAUGAAGGUCUUCGGAUCGUAAAACUCUGUUAUUAGGGAAGAACAAAUGUGUAAGUAACUAUGCACGUCUUGACGGUACCUAAUCAGAAAGCCACGGCUAACUACGUG